rnacentral:rRNA from 1 species
AUGAUUGAUAAGCUCUCUAGCAAGAUGAAGGGUUGGAAACCGAAGAUGUUGGCAAUGGCAGGCCAGCUCGCACUCACUUCAUCGAUCCUAAUGGCGCUGCCCAUGCACCUCAUGGCAGCGCUCCCACUGCCGGCAUGGGCAAUUAAGGCGAUCAAUCGCCGCUACCGUGGAUUUAUUUGGGAGGGGGAGGAGGAGAUUAGUGGUGGCCAUUGC